AUUGAACGCUGGCGGCAUGCCUUACACGUGCAAGACGAACGGCAGCAUGGAGAGCUUGCUCUCUGAUGGCGAGUGGCGAACGGGUGAGUAAUGCAUCGGAACGUACCGUGUAAUGGGGGAUAACGUAGCGAAAGUUACGCUAAUACCGCAUACGACCUGAGGGUGAAAGCAGGGGAUCGCAAGACCUUGCGUUAUACGAGCGGCCGAUGUCAGAUUAGCUAGUUGGUGAGGUAAAGGCUCACCAAGGCGACGAUCUGUAGCGGGUCUGAGAGGAUGAUCCGCCACACUGGGACUGAGACACGGCCCAGACUCCUACGGGAGGCAGCAGUGGGGAAUUUUGGACAAUGGGGGCAACCCUGAUCCAGCCAUGCCGCGUGAGUGAAGAAGGCCUUCGGGUUGUAAAGCUCUUUCGGCCGGGAAGAAAUCGCACAGGCUAAUACUCUGUGUGGAUGACGGUACCGGCAUAAGAAGCACCGGCUAACUACGUGCCAGCAGCCGCCGUAA
rnacentral:rRNA from 1 species